AGUCGAACGGAUCCUUCGGGAUUAGUGGCAGACGGGUGAGUAACGCGUGGGAAGCUACCUUGUGGUAGGGGACAACAGUUUGAAAAGACUGCUAAUACCCUAUGAGCCCUAUGGGGGAAAGAUUUAUCGCCAUGAGAUGUGCCCGCGUUAGAUUAGCUAGUUGGUAAGGUAAUGGCUUACCAAGGCGACGAUCUAUAGCUGGUCUGAGAGGAUGAUCAGCCACACUGGGACUGAGACACGGCCCAGACUCCUACGGGAGGCAGCAGUGGGGAAUAUUGGACAAUGGGGGCAACCCUGAUCCAGCCAUGCCGCGUGUGUGAUGACGGCCUUAGGGUUGUAAAGCACUUUCAGCAGUGAAGAUAAUGACAUUAACUGCAGAAGAAGCCCCGGCUAACUUCGUGCCAGCAGCCGCGGUAAUACGAAGGGGGCUAGCGUUGUUCGGAAUCACUGGGCGUAAAGAGUACGUAGGCGGACUGAUAAGUUAGGGGUGAAAUCCCAAGGCUCAACCUUGGAACUGCCUUUGAUACUGUCAGUCUUGAGAUCGAGAGAGGUGAGUGGAACUCCGAGUGUAGAGGUGAAAUUCGUAGAUAUUCGGGAAGAACACCAGUGGCGAAGGCGGCUCACUGGCUCGAUACUGA
rnacentral:rRNA from 1 species